rnacentral:rRNA from 1 species
UUUUAGGAGAUAUAUACUUAUUAGAAAUUAGAUGAUAUCAUUGAAAUUAAUUAAUUUGGCGGUAUUUUAACUGGUUAGAGGAAUUUGUUAAGUAAUUGAUAAUCCACGAAAGGAGGAACCUAAUAAAAUUUUAUGUAUUGUUGUAGUAAAAUUAGUUUAAGAGAAUUUAAUUGUAAAAUUUAAUUAAAUUUUAAUUCAAAUCAAAAUGUAGAAUUGUUAGGGUUUAAUGAAUUACAUUCUAGAUAAAUAUGAGUAAUAAUUUUAAUAUUAUUAUGAUAUUGGAUUUAAUAGUAAAUUUUUAUAAUUUUAAAAAUUGAAAUUUAAUUAAAAUGUG